GACGAACGCUGGCGGCGUGCUUAACACAUGCAAGUCGAACGGAAAGGCCCUGCUUUUGUGGGGUGCUCGAGUGGCGAACGGGUGAGUAACACGUGAGUAACCUGCCCUUGACUUUGGGAUAACUUCAGGAAACUGGGGCUAAUACCGGAUAGGAGCUCCUGCUGCAUGGUGGGGGUUGGAAAGUUUCGGCGGUUGGGGAUGGACUCGCGGCUUAUCAGCUUGUUGGUGGGGUAGUGGCUUACCAAGGCCUUGACGGGUAGCCGGCCUGAGAGGGUGACCGGACACAUUGCGACUGAAAUACGGCCCAGACUCCUACGGGAGGCAGCAGUGGGGAAUAUUGCACAAUGGGCGGAAGCCUGAUGCAGCAACGCCGCGUGCGGGAUGACGGCCUUCGGGUUGUAAACCGCUUUCGCCUGUGACGAAGCGUGAGUGACGGUACUGGGUAAAGAAGCACCGGCUAACUACGUG
rnacentral:rRNA from 1 species